rnacentral:rRNA from 1 species
UUGCAGUUAAAAAGCUCGUAGUUGGAUUUCUGUGGGGACGGAGCGGCCGGCCGCAACACGCGGUUCGAGCUAGCGCUUUCCCUACAUCCUGCCGCGAACCGUGCUACCAUUAGUUUGGUGGCGCUGGGGAUCGGCUCGAUUACUUUGAGAAAAAUAGAGUGUUCAAAGCAGGCCACACGCCUUGAAUAAGUUAGCAUGGAGUAAUAACUAAGGACUUCGGUUCUAUUUUAUUGGUGUUCGGGACUGAAGUAGUGAUUGAUAGGGACAGUUGGGGCGGUCAGUAUUCCAAAGCGAGAGGUGAAAUUCUUAGACCUUCGGAAGACUAACAGCUGCGAAAGCGUUCCGCAAGGAUGUUCCCUUUGAUCAAGAACGAAAGUUGGGGGAUCGAAGACGAUCAGAUACCGUCGUAGUCUUAACUAUAAACUAUGCCAGCUAGGGAUCGGCCAACGUUAUUCUAUACCGACUUGGUCGGCACCUUAUGAGAAAUCAAAGCAUCUGGGUUCCGGGGGGAGUAUGGUCGCAAGGCUGAAACUUAAAGGAAUUGACGGAAAGGCACCACCAGCCGUGGAGCCUGUGGGCUUAAUUUGACUCAACCCC